UACGUAGGGUGCGAGCGUUAAUCGGAAUUACUGGGCGUAAAGCGUGCGCAGGCGGUUAUGUAAGACAGGGGUGAAAUCCCCGGGCCUAACCUGGGAACUGCAUUUGUGACUGCAUAGCUAGAGUACGGUAGAGGGGGAUGGAAUUCCGCGUGUAGCAGUGAAAUGCGUAGAUAUGCGGAGGAACACCGAUGGCGAAGGCAAUCCCCUGGACCUGUACUGACGCUCAUGCACGAAAGCGUGGGGAGCAAACAGG
rnacentral:rRNA from 1 species